rnacentral:rRNA from 1 species
AUGCUGAAUAAAGAAGUUCCAGAUUCUUCUCCGGCGAGGCGAUCGUCUUUUAUGGUCGGUGAUGGAUUUGGGAACCAGUCUGUUCAAGCGGGGAUAUCGUGGCGGCGACGGCAUCCUUGUGGUGGACUUGUGUCCUCGGGCUCCGCCGUUGCGAUGGCGUCUGCUCCAGCGUCGGCGUGGAGCUUCGGAGGUAGUUCUGGAGCGGAUGCAGAUCGUGGUCUGCAUCGACGACAUCUGGAAGACGGAACAUAUGCUGGGUUCGUGGUUGAUGGAUGGCAGGUACGAUUUCCUACUUCGGCGUCUUAG